UAUGCCCAGGUUCUUCUGAGCUAUGAAGGGGCCCAGACUUAAGGGCUGUUCUUGACACCCUAAAUGUGCUGGGACAAGUCAUUAAGGUGGUCCUGCCAGGACACAGCCAUCUAAAGCAGCAAUCUGCUUCCUGCCAGAAAAUCUCGUGCCUCUGCAGAGCCUUUUCCAGAAUGAACCACACCAUGCUGAGGAAAGGAGAAAGAGACCGCCUACUGCAUUUCUGUCACUUGCUGAAAAGGACACUCUGUCAGAGAAUCUUCUAGCAAACUUCAAAGGGCAAAAUCACCCCUUGUUACAGAUAAAGCACAGAGAGCUUCAGCAGCUAGCAUUCCCUGGACAGGGCACAGCAAGGAUUUGAACCUAGGCCAGUCUGGCCAGAACACCCACAAGCUUUCCUUAACUCAGUGUGCUAUCUCCCCACGACUAGGUCACUACUGCUUUAUAAUCCCCUUUGUAGCCACCAGUGGAUUUUGCUCAUCAGUAUUUUUCAGGUAAUUGAUACUUUAGAUGUUCAUCUGCAAGACGUAUGCAGUUUUCAUUGACAUCUUUUGGAGAAACUGACAAACCUGGACUUGACUUAAUGCUUUUGGAACCUUCCAAGAUGUUAUAUAACUCUAGAUAGAAGGCUGAGCCUCCACGAUGUCAGGAAUAUUGCAUUCUUAUUUCCCCAUAGAUAAACCCAUUUGUCCACAAAGUCAAGGAGUCGGGCAGAGGCCCUUGCCAUGGGACUUUUUAGGAUAGAGUAACAAGCUUGGACUUUGCUCUAUGACAGGGUUUUGCAUAGGGAGUGGUAUGAUCAGAUCCCUCAAGACAGAAAGCUUAGGGACCAGGCCAGAGUCCACUGCAGUAGCCCAGUCAAGAGAGGAUGGUGACUUGGGCUUUAGUAGAGCCAGUUAGAAUGAAAGAAUUUGACACAUUCAGAAAUGGUUUUAGAGGUAGAGUCAAACUGGACCUGAUACAGAACUAGAGAAGUGGAGUGAGGAUAAAGAGAAGAGCCAUGACUGACUCGGAAGAUUUUGUCUUGAAAAACUUGAGAACUCAAGACAGAGUGAAAUAAAACCACAUGUGGGAAAAA